UACAGAGGUCUCAAGCGUUGUCCGGAUUCAUUGGGCGUAAAGGGUGCGUAGGCGGCGCGGUAAGUCGGGUGUGAAAUUUCGAGGCUUAACUUCGAAACUGCAUUCGAUACUGCCGUGCUUGAGGACUGGAGAGGAGACUGGAAUUUACGGUGUAGCGGUGAAAUGCGUAGAUAUCGUAAGGAAGACCAGUGGCGAAGGCGGGUCUCUGGACAGUUCCUGACGCUGAGGCACGAAGGCCAGGGGAGCAAACGGG
rnacentral:rRNA from 1 species